CGAACGCUGGCGGCGUGCCUAAUACAUGCAAGUAGGACGCACAGUCUAUACCGUAGCUUGCUACACCAUAGGCUGUGAGUUGCGAACGGGUGAGUAACGCGUAGGUAACCUGCCUAUUAGAGGGGGAUAACUAUUGGAAACGAUAGCUAAUACCGCAUAACAGUAUGUAACACAUGUUAGAUGCUUGAAAGAUGCAAUUGCAUCGCUAGUAGAUGGACCUGCGUUGUAUUAGCUAGUAGGUAGGGUAAUGGCCUACCUAGGCGACGAUACAUAGCCGACCUGAGAGGGUGAUCGGCCACACUGGGACUGAGACACGGCCCAGACUCCUACGGGAGGCAGCAGUAGGGAAUCUUCGGCAAUGGGGGGAACCCUGACCGAGCAACGCCGCGUGAGUGAAGAAGGUUUUCGGAUCGUAAAGCUCUGUUGUUAAGGAAGAACGAGUGUGAGAAUGGAAAGU
rnacentral:rRNA from 1 species